rnacentral:rRNA from 1 species
UACGUAGGGGGCGAGCGUUGUCCGGAAUCAUUGGGCGUAAAGAGCGUGUAGGCGGCUUGGCAAGUCUGACGUGAAAGCCCGCGGCUCAACCGCGGAUUGUCGUUGGAAACUGCCUCGCUAGAGUCCGGAAGAGGAGAGCGGAAUUCCUGGUGUAGCGGUGGAAUGCGCAGAUAUCAGGAAGAACACCCGUGGCGAAGGCGGCUCUCUGGGACGGUACUGACGCUGAGACGCGAAAGCGUGGGGAGCGAACAGGAUAGAU